GCCAGGGCGGCGGCCAGGACACCCGUCAGCGCGGCGACGAGGAUCGUGCAGCGGAGGCUCGGCACCUCAUCCACCGGCAGGAAGGACGACGCCGACAACGUCGACAUCAUCAACCAAGCAAUUACAUUGGCAAAGAGUAGUGAUGGAAAGAAGGUGGUGAACAGCAUUCUGAUCACACUUGGAAUCACUUCUUUCGUUCAUUGGACUGUGUCGACACUUACAGCUCACGCUGAAAAUGAAACUGGUGAGAAGGUGAUACAGCAAGAUGAGUCCAAUAAAGCAUUUCAAUUUGGGAUCGAAAAGGAGCCGCUGCAGCUGGAUACCAAACUCUGAAUCAUUCUCGGAUGAGAAGGUUGCCGCUCAGUCAUCAGCAUGGUCGCCUUGAGAACAACAAAACAUAUAAUUUGUACUAGCAGUUCGGUGCCUGGUGGUGUUGGAACCGCAUAUAAUUCCCAGGAUGAGAACAUGUUUAUUAUAUUUCUCUCUGUUAAUUCAAACUUCGGUUACUCUA